rnacentral:rRNA from 1 species
UUGGAGGGCAAGUCUGGUGCCAGCAGCCGCGGUAAUUCCAGCUCCAAUAGCGUAUAUUAAAGUUGUUGCAGUUAAAAAGCUCGUAGUUGAAUUUCGGGGUUAGUAGGUUAGUCAUGCCUCUGGUAUGUACUGGUCUCACUGAUUCCUCCUUCCUGAUGAGCCGUAAUGCCAUUAAUUUGGUGUUGCGGGGAAUUUGGACUGUUACUUUGAAAAAAUUAGAGUGUUUAAAGCAAGCUAACGCUUGAAUACAUUAGCAUGGAAUAAUGAAAUAGGACGUUCGAUCCUAUUUUGUUGGUUUCUAGGAUUGACGUAAUGAUUAAUAGGGAUAGUUGGGGGCAUUAGUAUUCAAUUGUCAGAGGUGAAAUUCUUGGAUUUAUUGAAGACUAACUACUGCGAAAGCAUUUGCCAAGGAUGUUUUCAUUAAUCAAGAACGAAAGUUAGGGGAUCGAAGACGACCAGAUACCGUCGUAGUCUUAACCAUAAACUAUGCCGACUAGGGAUCGGAUGAUGUUAAUUUUUUAAUGACUCAUUCGGCGCCUUACGGGAAAC